UGAACGUCACAUGCUAAUGUAAAAAGCUGUUUUUUUGAUAUAAAUAUGAACUUGAUUGAACAAAACAUGCAUGUAUUGUAUAACAUAAUGUCCUAGGUGUGUCAUCUGAUGAAGAUCAUCAAAGGUUAGUGCUGCAUUUAGCUGUCUUCUGGGUUUUUGUGACAUUAUAUGCUAGCUUGAAAAAUGGGUGUCUGAUUAUUUCUGGCUGGGUACUCUGCUGACAUAAUCUAAUGUUUUGCUUUCGCUGUAAAGCCUUUUUGAAAUCGGACAGUGUGGUUAGAUUAACGAGAGUCUUGUCUUUAAAAUGCUGUAAAAUAGUCAUAUGUUUGAAAAAUGGAAGUUUUUGGAUUUUAGAGGAAUUUGUAUUUCGCGCCACGCCCAUCAUUGGAUAUUGGAGCAGGUGUUCCGCUAGCGGAACGUCUAGAUGUAAGAGUUUAUUAUUAGCCACACCAGGUUAUUAUUAGUGUCCCCACUAGAAGUCGCCACAAAAAUAGCAAACAAACAUACAUUUGACCAACUGGGGACAUUUUGUUAGUCCCCGCAAGGUCAAAUUCUAUUUCUAGGGGGUUUAGGGUUAAGGUUAGAAUUAGUGUUAGGGUUAGAAUUAGGUUAAGGGUUAGGAGCUAAGGUUAGUUUUACGAUUAGGAGCUAGGGUUAGGUUUAGAGUUAGGUUUAAGGUUAGAUUUUCGGGAUAACUUUAGGGUUAAGGUUAGGGUUAGGGUUAGGAGCUAGGGUUACGCAUAAGGUUUGGUUUUCGGGAUAAAUUUAGGAUUAGGGUUAAGGUUAAUUAUAAGGUUAAGGUUAGGGUUACAUUUUUCAGGGUUAAGGUUAAUGUUAAGGUUAGGGUUAGGGUACAGGUUAGGGUUAGGAGUUAGGGAAAAUAGGAUUUUGAAUGGGAUUUAAAUUGUGUGUCCUCACAAGGUUAGUUGUACAAGACUGUGUGUUUGUGUGUGUUCUUGCCUGAGUAUGCAUUACUGUAUCCCUGAUCUAAGUGGAGACUAGGUAUGUCACUCAGGUGAGAGAAUGUCAGUUGGUCCCUCUCUGUUUACUAAAAGGCUGUAGGUCAAUUCUAUAGGAGGUACACACACUCAUGGAGUCAGCUCUUGGCCACAAUGAGGUUAGCAUCAGGGCUAAUUGAAUGAAGAGGGCUGUGUUAUGGCUCACCGGUUAGCCUGCUAGUGCUGUUUGAACUCAUGGCACUGCUCAGCUCAGUCCAUUAAGUGGCUAUAAAGGGCCACCUAAGCACCACGGCCAGGAACUGACUACAGAUCUAGAGAAGUAGCUAGCUGCUCACAGACCAAGAGCAACAAACUGUACCUGGGAAC
rnacentral:lncRNA from 1 species